ACCCGCACAAGCGGUGGAUGAUGUGGUUUAAUUCGAUGCAACGCGAAAACUUACCCACCUUUGACAUGUACGGAAGUUGCCAGAGAUGGCUUCGUGCUCGAAAGAGAGCCGUAACACAGGUGCUGCAUGGCUGUCGUCAGCUCGUGUCGUGAGAUGUUGGGUUAAGUCCCGCAACGAGCGCAACCCUUGUCAUUAGUUGCUACGAAAGGGGCACUCUAAUGAGACUGCCGGUGACAAACCGGAGGAAGGUGGGGAUGACGUCAAGUCCUCAUGGCCCUUAUAGGUGGGGCUACACACGUCAUACAAUGGCUGGUACAAAGGGUUGCCAACCCGCGAGGGGGAGCCAAUCCCAUAAAGCCAGUCGUAGUCCGGAUCGCAGUCUGCAACUCGACUGCGUGAAGUCGGAAUCGCUAGUAAUCGUGGAUCAGCAUGUCACGGUGAAUACGUUCCCGGGUCUU
rnacentral:rRNA from 1 species